rnacentral:lncRNA from 1 species
UAAUUUUCAUGACGACGUCAAAAUUUACGGGAACUUUUGUGGGGAAUAGUUUAGUACGUGCUAACAAAAUCAUGCAAAUGCCAUUGACAAUUAUGAAUCAUUUUAUAGUACAACAAACAUGGAGUAAUAAUGAUCAUAACACUUUUUCAAAUUUUCAAUGUUUCAAAAUGCCUAUUUACGAAAUGUUACAAUAAAUAUAUAUGGAGGU